rnacentral:rRNA from 1 species
AUUGAACGCUGGCGGCAGGCCUAACACAUGCAAGUCGAGCGGAUGAAGGGAGCUUGCUCCUGGAUUCAGCGGCGGACGGGUGAGUAAUGCCUAGGAAUCUGCCUGGUAGUGGGGGAUAACGUCCGGAAACGGGCGCUAAUACCGCAUACGUCCUGAGGGAGAAAGUGGGGGAUCUUCGGACCUCACGCUGUCAGAUGAGCCUAGGUCGGAUUAGCUAGUUGGUGGGGUAAAGGCCUACCAAGGCGACGAUCCGUAACUGGUCUGAGAGGAUGAUCAGUCACACUGGAACUGAGACACGGUCCAGACUCCUACGGGAGGCAGCAGUGGGGAAUAUUGGACAAUGGACGAAAGCCUGAUCCAGCCAUGCCGCGUGUGUGAAGAAGGUCUUCGGAUUGUAAAGCACUUUAAGUUGGGAGGAAGGGCAGUAAGUUAAUACCUUGCUGUUUUGACGUUACCAACAGAAUAAGCACCGGCUAACUUCGUG